rnacentral:siRNA from 1 species
AGAACUCACCAAGCCUAAGGAUUG